ACAGCAGCCGCCGCGGGAAUACGUAGGUGGCAAGCGUUGUCCGGAAUUAUUGGGCGUAAAGGGCUCGCAGGCGGUUUCUUAAGUCUGAUGUGAAAGCCCCCGGCUCAACCGGGGAGGGUCAUUGGAAACUGGGAAACUUGAGUGCAGAAGAGGAGAGUGGAAUUCCACGUGUAGCGGUGAAAUGCGUAGAGAUGUGGAGGAACACCAGUGGCAAAGGCGACUCUCUGGUCUGUAACUGACGCUGAGGAGCGAAAGCGUGGGGAGCGAACAGGAUUAGAUACCCGCGUAGUCCCUGUCUCUUAUAC
rnacentral:rRNA from 1 species